UUUCAUUUUUCACAAUGUCUUGUCCCAUUUGUCCCUUUCUUUACUUUUCACCACCGAACCCUAGAAUCAAAGAAUCAAAGCAGUUUAAUCUACAGUUUUUGGGUUUCAUUCUCUUCCAUUCUCCUUUCUCACCUGCUCCCCUCGUGUGCGCCUCUCACUCUCUUCGCGACCUCGCAUUUUUCACUGUCUUCGCGAACUCGCGUUUCCCUAAAACUUAUUAAGCGAAAUCGACGGUGCUGUUGAUUCCAUGGAUGUCGUCCGUCAAACACCGUUACAUGCUUCUACUCGUUCGAUUAAAUGCUAUACGCCUCGUCGACUUGUUUCUUGGUUGCUGGCGGCAAGUAAAACAUAACUUCUAGCUUUAUCCAUCCAUGGGUUUCUUACUUCAAUAUGUAGCAUAACAAUGAAGCGUUAUGGACAGUGAAGUGACAUGCUCAUAAUAGUGUAAUACUCAUUGUUGUAAACUUUGUAUUGUUGUGAUCAUUUGUUGUGUUUCAGCCACCAUAUUGUUUGUGAUUUCGUCAAAUAGCAAUUGAAGGGAGAUAUAUCAUUGUGUGUUGCAAUAAUAGUUGAUUGCUUUGUGCUGUUUGAAGCUUAUUUUAAUUGGUUAUAUACAUGGUUCUCUUGCUUGCCUGUGAUAUCACUACACCCUCUUUUGGAUUGAAGUUGAGACAUAGAUGAUAGAUGCAUAUUAUGGCAGAGCGCAAGUUUCUGGCGGCGAAGAAAUCGGAGCGUGAGAAUCUGUUGAAACAAUUAUUGAAUCCUUCUCCUGUUGAUAAGGUUGUUGCCGUUGCUCCUGAGGAAGAUGCCAACACUCCACUGUUUCCUGUGAGAUGUGAUGAUUUUAUCUUUCUUGAUGUUAUUGUGUUAGAGUUGAACUAACCGGAGUUGAUGCACUUGAAAUAAACUUCUCGUGUCUUCAUGGUAUGCCGGAACGAAAAAUGGGUGCUGUUGUUGGGCAGGAUUGUGCUCUUCUUGAAGAAGUUUGUGGAUGGAUAAAUGCAAAAGCUAUAGUUCCUGUUUGGGCCAAGAUGACUCCCAACAUUACUGAUAUUUCACAGCAUAUUGCAUUGUGGAGCAGAUGAACAAAAUAGUGCUGAAACUGAAGCUUGCGUGUGUCGUUUGAAUAUAAGACGCGAGACUAAAGUUGGAAAAAAAAUGUGAUUUCUCCUUAGAUUUAUGUUUAAAACACUAUUUUAUUCAUCUUGUUUGUUGUCGAUUUUUGGUGUUUAAAAUUUGCAGCCAGUUUAAGGUUCAUAAGUUGUUUAGGAAAGUUGCAUUUGGUGCUUAAAUAUUAUUGAUAUCAGUGCUUAAAUAAGCUGUUUAGGAGAAUGUGCUUAAAUAUUAGUGCUUAAAUGUGAUUUCAUAAGCUGUUUAGGAAAGUUGCAUUUGGUGCUUAAAUAUUAGUGCUUAAAAUCUCACAUUUGGUAGUCUUUGCUUUAUAUUAAUGAUUAAUUGCAUGCUUGGAAGAACAUUUUGAUAAUUAACACAUUCGAUUGUUUUAGUUUAA